rnacentral:rRNA from 1 species
GAUGAACGCUGGCGGCGUGCUUAACACAUGCAAGUCGAACGAAGCACUUUAUUUGAUUUCCUUCGGGACUGAUUAUUUUGUGACUGAGUGGCGGACGGGUGAGUAACGCGUGGGUAACCUGCCUUGUACAGGGGGAUAACAGUUGGAAAUGGCUGCUAAUACUGCAUAAGCGCACGGCAUCGCAUGAUGCAGUGUGAAAAACUCCGGUGGUAUAAGAUGGACCCGCGUUGGAUUAGCUAGUGGGUGAGGUAACGGCACACCAAGGCGACGAUCCAUAGCCGAGCUGAGAGGGUGACCGGCCGCAUUGGGACUGAGACACGGACCAAACUCGGACGGGAGGCAGCAGUAGGGAAUAUUGCACAAUGGGCGAAAGCGUGAUGAAGCGACGCGGCGGAAGCGAAGAAGUAUUUCGGUAUGUAAAGCUCUAUCAGCAGGGAAGAUAAUGACGGUACCGGGCUAAGAAGCACCGGCUAAAUACGUG